GCCUGCCCCUGUGGGCCCCACUUCCAGCAGGUCACCCGGUCUGUGUUGUCACCUUGAAACAUUCUAGAGAGCUGUGAGCUUCAGAAGGUGAGGCUCUGGGGGCUGGGCUGGGGGCAGGGAAGGCAGCCACGCAGGGUGGCUGGAGAGCUUUUGACAGCCCCUAGCAGAGCCCAGCAUCCCAUUCCCGACGACGUGAGCCCCCCAGGCAGGCGCCGAGUGGAUAAGAGUGUAGACAGCGAGGCCGGCCUGUGACGCUUGCCAGCACCUGCAGAUAGCAGGCAAAUAAUUGGCACAUGCUUAAAAAAAAUUAAAAACCUCUUGGAUGAGCCACAGGAAGAUUAAGAAGGAGAAAAGGUGAGGGAAUCAAGUACCAGAGAAAUUGAUGGAAAGACAACGCUGCUGCCCUUCUCUUCUCAAAUGGGAUGGAUGUGAGGAGCUGGGGGUGGGGAGAGAGAAAAAAAAAUUGAGGACUGCUGCCUGCCACUCUUCUCGCUCAAAGGAAAAUCAUGCUCGGAAGACAUGGGACCCAAAAGGGCCACUGGAUCUUCUCCUAUGGUGCCUGUCUCUUUUAAACAGGAGGCAGCAGCCCCUCUCCUGGUCUCCAUCACUCAGUCUUGGACCAUCAGGAGCCACUGAGGCCUCCCAAGCAGAGUGGCAACUAUGCUGGGUGGGAACGUGACCUGCUGUUAAAGGCCCACAGUCAUUAGAAUUCUGUAAGAACAUACCCUGGUAGCCAGAGGGCCUGGUUUGGUGUCCGGACCCCAACAUGUCACGUUGCUCUGCCUAGCUGUGUGAGAUGGGGCUGGUGUGCAGCUGUCUUCUGCUGGUCCUUCUAGAUUCAUUUUUCCUCCUGCUCCACCUUUUUUCUGCCAUAGAGGCAGACCUCUGAGGGCCUCAUCCAUGGGCUCCUGCCCUCCAAGUCCGGCUGGUGGGGAUCCCAGUAGAUAGGAGGGAGAAACAGCAAGAGGCUGCUGGAGGCUGGCUGGAACUGGGGCAGGGACGCUCGUGCGCUUCCCCGAAGUCUCUCUUUUUAGGUCCUUUGCUGCUGCUAGCCCCAGGUCCUUGCAGUACCCCCUCUGCUUCCCCCUACCCACCCAUGGCAUGUAUUUAGUGCCUUUGUGCAUAAACACCUCUCAAAUUAUCCUGAUUGAGGGUACUUCUUUCCACUGAGACAUCAACACUGGUACCUGAUGGAUAAGGCAAGUCUGAGUUUGCACCUGGCCCCUAUUCACAGUAAGGAUGUGAGAAAGUUACUUAACCUCUCUGAGCAUGGCUUGACUCAUCCCUAAGAUGGGGAUGGAUGAUACUGAAUCAUAGCAUUGUGAUAUAACCCGAACCAGGCACCUAAUUAAUACCCAUUUCUUUGUUUAUGAAAGUCUCAAGUUUAGGGGAAACAAAAAAAAAAGAUCAGUAAAAGGUAUAAAACAAAAGAAUGCAAUGAACACCAGAAUCAUCAUCAAACCAAGACAUUAAAAUACUUUCCUGCCAGUGGGACCGCAGCCAAGUAGUGCUAUUUGAUACAGCAUCCCUCUGUCCUGGUCAGAGGAGAGCCCUGCUCAGAACUGACUAUCCAUGGCAAGCAUUGAGUGUGGAGCACCCACUCCACAGCCCCCAGUCCUUUCGCUCAUGCUCCAACAUAGUCAUCCUGUAAAUAUUUGCUGAAUCACCUUCUGUGUGCCUUGCCCUGUGCUAGGUCCUGGGGAACCAUGGAUCACUCAGACACAGCACCAGACUUCAAGGUGCUCACAGCCACUUGGGGAAAUGAGCCCUAAAUUCCUAGCUUUGAUCAAACAAUAAAAUGCCACCAGGCAUAAAGGUGGGAAUGAUUAAUUCUGCUAUUGGCAUACGUGUGUGCAUGUGGGUGUGCUGGGAAGGGAGGUCUGGGAAGGCUCCUCCAAGGCCUUGAAAGAUGAGACUUCUGAAAACAGAAGAGCUCAGUGGGCAGAGGGAACCGGACGUGCAAAGGCACGGAGGCAGGAGAGAACACAGAGAAAUCUGCCAACAAGUCCCAGUGGCUGGAAUAUGGAGUCCAAAGUACUGAUGGCAGCAGGGAUUCCACUAGAAGUAAAGAUCAGUUUGCGAGAGGGAAAGGACCCGAAAAGCACUCUGAGAAAUUUGGCUUUGAUUCAGGAAGCAAAAAAGAAGUAGCAAGAAUUCUUCAUUCUGAGCGUUUUAGGGAGAAACGCUGGCACAAUAAAGUGUGCAAUUUUUGUAAUCAUCUGCCUUCUGAUAGUAAGGCCCUAUUCUCCUGGGUUGGCAGGAAAUUUGUUCACAGCUAUGUUUGAGACGACCCUCUUCCCAGCUCCCAUCCAGGACCUUGUAUGUUUUUGAGUCUUGCACAGACACAAGCCUCCAGGGGUCCCACAGAGCCAUGUUCUCACAGUCCGGCCACCUCCCCAGGGGCUGCCAUAGGGUGGGACUGGAUCCCACACUAUUUGUGCCAUUCACUGACCAGAGACCUCUCCCCAGGAUGGGGGUAAGCUUUCUCUUGUCCUUCUUUGACCCUUAGAAUCCCUCUUUUCUCCACCUCCUCUACCCAAUCUGCCAUAAGCAUUUACUGAACACAGGAGGAAUCAUAGACUUCCAGCAGUUUUUGUUUACGUGCUGCGUGCAAAAAUUCCCCAAGGCAAGGAAAUACAAGAGCCUAAGGACUCGUUUGGAAUGUGCGAGAGGGCAAGCCCAGGGAGAGCUUCACAAAUGAAUAUGUCCAUGAAGCACACUGCCAGGCACACUUUCAAGGCUUUGAUGUUAUUACUACUAGGAUAGUCCACAUUCUGAGGCUGUCAAGUCAUUAUCUGGACAAUGUCAUCCCUCAAGGGCUUUUGGCAAAAGCUUUCAAAUAACUGAAGUGACAGUAAGAAUUUAUAACAUGAAAUUUAGAAUGAAUUAAUAGUCAUCGCACCUAAAAUAUGUCUCUAUCAGAUCAUGAACUUCUUCAGGGCAGAAUAUUCAUUGUAAUGGUCUUAGGCUUUAGAGUUUAAAUUUUCAUCUCUAAGUUACAAGACCUUGGGCACAUUUUUUUGAAUUCCCCAAGCCUCAGUUUUCUCAUCAAUGAAAUGGGGCUAUCCUUCUGGCAUUGUGAGGAUAACAGUACAUAAAAGGGUCUGGCAGAGAAAGGCAUCAAAUAAAUGCUGCCUGGAAGGAUGGAUGGAUGGAAGGGCAGGUGGACAGACAGAAGGACAUCUCAGCCCUUUGUUUUAUUGUGGUCAGGCAGUACCAGCAUCACAUGCCUCAGUGUGUUAUUUAAAUAUAUGUUUUCGGUCAUGACACCAGUGUGGGAACUUUGCACCUUGGAAUAACAUCUAAGCCUUUUGUGAGCUCUCAGUCAAGUGUAAGAAAAAGAAACAUAAAAAGAAACACUGAGGGUGCAGAGAGAAGAGGUGGGGGUUCAAUUACCUCAUUAUCAGGUGUAAGGACAGCACAUUCUUCCAUUCAUUAGCACCCACUUGUGCCUGCCAGGAGAAGGCCAAUCAGCUGCCAUUUGCUGGGGCUCCAACAGAAGAGGUGACCCCAGAGAUAGAAGAUUGGGUGCAGGUUGCAGAGGACCAAGGAAGAAAUUGUGGACUUGGACUUCCUUAAAGAUGCAAAGGUCUGGUCCCCAGGGGCCUUUGCAGGGUAGCCUGAAGAAGCUGGCAUAUCAUUUGGGCCAUUGUUAAUCAUAAUAAAGGUGCUCUUGAGGGCAAUGAGAAGUCACAGAAAUGGCAGGAAAGUAAAUCUACCCAAUGUGGUGGUGGACAAGUGGAGUAACUGUCCUGAGCAAGGAGUAGCAAUCUCCAGGGCCCACGGCUGAGUGAGCAGAGCAGAAAAGGAUUAAGAUAGAGAGGGCUCCACCGUGACAAGCUGUGCAGCCUAAACACUGCACGGUACAGGUUAUCAGGCUUUCCCUUUUUUCUGAAAAAAAGCAUAAAAUCUGGAUAUAUAUGCGAAAUUUCCCAGGUUUAAGUGUUGGCUAUGAUUUCAAACAUUUUCAAAACACCGUGUAGGUCAAACAAAGCACAAAGGCCAUUGGUGACUCUCAGGCUGCCAGUGUCUCAAUCAAACACCAAAUCCAGGACAUGAAGCAAGGGUGAUGUCAAGGUCAAAGCCAGGGUCAUUGUCGAAAAUCACAGUGGAAGAUGCCCUGCACCCACUGGAAAGAACUCCAGGGUCGGGAGCCAAGUUCAGAAUGUAAAAUGCACAUGACAUAAUAGGUGAUGGGGUUGUGAGAGGAGAUUUAGUGAAGAGCAACUUAUUUCUGGUAGAUCCUAUCUUGGCAUGAAGGUGUGUUCCAAGUGUACCUUUCUAGUCACCUUGCAGCCUGGGUCAAAUUUAUUGCCCUAAUAGGGCAAUGGAUUACCAUUUUGUAGAUGGUAAUAAUGAAGUUGUGGAGUGAUGACCAUUUUUAUAUAUGUAGAUUUUACCAUUUUUUUUAUUUCCCAAGGAUACAUAUUUAGAAGUAAAAUUACUAGUGCAUUUGAUUUAUGCUGUAAAUUGAUUUCCAAAAGGGCUGUACCUUGUGUCAGAAAUAGUGUUCACUAAAUACUUAAUAUACUCCCUUACAUUUCUAACCUCCUUGUAAUUAGUUUAGGGUCAUGUGAUUAGUUCUGGCCAAUGGACUAUGAGGGGAAAUGACACAUGUCUAACAUACACUUAAGAGAGGUGUUUCCAUGCCUCCCUUCUACCUAGCAAAGCAGAACUAAUAGCCAUACAUUAAGAUAGUAGCAUGGACCCCUGACUCACCAGAUGGAAGACAGCUACAACAAGCACCCAAUGGGCUUUGCAAGAGUGAAAAAUAAGCUUCUUUGUUAUGCCACUGAUAUUUUUAUGUUACUUGUUAUAGCGGCAUAGCCUAACUCAUCAUGAUUAACAUAUAUUGCUUUAUAAUACCAUCAGUAAUAAGUAUAAAUAUCAUUUACACUCUACCUUAGCAUUUGGCACCACCAUUAAAAACAUUUAUUUUUUAAAAAAAGAAAAAAUAAAACACAAAAUGUAUGCAUUUACACACACACACACAUACACACAUAUAUAUAUAUACACAUACAUAUAUACACAGGUAUAUACAGCUAUGGAAAAAGCUAUUCAUAUUGCUAGGAUAAUUUUUCUACCACUGUGUAAUGUCAUUAUCCAACACUCCAAAGACCCAUUCUCUCCCUUACAGAGAAGGAAAAUCAGGAGUGCUGUUAUUAAACUUAAAGGGAUUCAGACUUAAGGAAAAAAAUCCACUGAGUUCUAAGAUUGUGACUACUUUUAUAUACCUAAUUCUGGAUUGUUUAUAAAAUUCUGAAGGAGGAACAUUUUUUAAAUUUUAUUUUAUUUUAUUUUAAGUGCAGGAUGUGCAGGUUUGUUAAAUAGGUAGACGUGUGCCAUGGUAGUUUGCUGCACCUAUCAACCCAUUACCUAGGUAUUAAGCCCAGCAUGCAGUAGCUAUUUAUCCUGAUGUUCUCCCUCCCCCUACCCCACCCCCCGACAGGCUCCAGUGUGCAUUGUUCCGCUCCCUGUGUCCAUAUGUUCUCAUUGUUCAUCUCCCACUUACAAGUGAGGACAUGUGGUGGUUUUUUUCCUAUUCCUGUGUUAGUUUGCUGAGGAUAAUGGCUUCCAACUCCAUCCAUGUCCCUGUAAAGGACAUGAUCUCAUUCCUUUUUAUGGCUGCAUAGUAUGAUGGAGGAUAUUUUUAACAUGGGUUAAAUAAAACAUUAAUUAUUCCUAAAAUGAACAAAACUAUUUAUUUUAGCUUAUUUAAGGGAUGAAGUAGUGUUCCUAAGUUUUAUUUAAUCUUUCAUUUCUGAGAUCAUUUGCAAGGUUAAAUAUUUUUUAUGUUU
rnacentral:lncRNA from 10 species